rnacentral:rRNA from 1 species
UGGGGAAUAUUGGACAAUGGGCGAAAGCCUGAUCCAGCCAUGCCGCGUGUGUGAAGAAGGCCUUAUGGUUGUAAAGCACUUUAAGCGAGGAGGAGGGUACUGGUAUUAAUACUACCAGCUACUGGACGUUACUCGCAGAAUAAGCACCGGCUAACUCUGUGCCAGCAGCCGCGGUAAUACAGAGGGUGCGAGCGUUAAUCGGAUUUACUGGGCGUAAGGCGUGCGUAGGCGGCUAAUUGAGUCGGAUGUGAAAUCCCCGAGCUUAACUUGGGAAUUGCAUUCGAUACUGGGAAGCUAGAGUAUGGGAGAGGAUGGUAGAAUUCCAGGUGUAGCGGUGAAAUGCGUAGAGAUCUGGAGGAAUACCGAUGGCGAAGGCAGCCAUCUGGCCUAAUACUGACGCUGAGGUACGAAAGCAUGGGGAGCAAACAGG